rnacentral:piRNA from 1 species
UCCUGACAAGGCAGGCAGUGCCUGUGUGCA